UCCCUGGUGGUCCAGUGGUAAAGACUCGGUGUUUUCACUGCCAUGGGCCCAGGUUUGAUCCCUGGUCAGGGAA